rnacentral:rRNA from 1 species
UACGUAGGGGGCAAGCGUUGUCCGGAUUUAUUGGGCGUAAAGAGCUCGUAGGUGGUUCGAUAAGUCGGGUGUGAAAACUCUGGGCUCAACUCAGAGACGCCACUCGAUACUGUCGUGACUGGAGUCUGGUAGGGGAGUGUGGAAUUCCCAGUGUAGCGGUGAAAUGCGCAGAUAUUGGGAGGAACACCAGUGGCGAAGGCGGGUCUCUGGGCAACAACUGACGCUGAGGAGCGAAAGCGUGGGGAGCGAACAGG